ACACUUAGCUGGCAGGAGAGACAAUGUGAUGAUGAAGGUGGUUUAUCCCAGGGGGAGGCUCAGCCAUCCUAAGGCAGCUGGGAUGGCCCCUGCCAGUUCCCCACAUGUCUGAAAACUUGACUGCACAAUUUGUAGUAAUGGUCUUUUUCUUUGCCAUCUCCCUGU